UACGUAGGGCGCAAGCGUUGUCCGGAAUUAUUGGGCGUAAAGAGCUCGUAGGCGGUUUGUCGCGUCUGCUGUGAAAACUCGAGGCUCAACCCCGGGCCUGCAGUCGAUACGGGCAGGCUAGAGUCCGGCAGGGGAGACUGGAAUUCCUGGUGUAGCGGUGGAAUGCGCAGAUAUCAGGAGGAACACCGGUGGCGAAGGCGGGAUCCUGGGCCAGUACUGACGCUGAGGAGCGAAAGCGUGGGGAGCAAACAGG
rnacentral:rRNA from 1 species